ANAGUUUGAUCCUGGCUCAAAUUGAACGCUGGCGGCAGGCCUAACACAUGCAAGUCGAGCGGUAACAUUUCUAGCUUGCUANAANAUGACNAGCGGCGGACGGGUGAGUAAUGCUUGGGAACAUGCCUUGAGGUGGGGGACAACAGUUGGAAACGACUGCUAAUACCGCAUAAUGUCUACGGACCAAAGGGGGCUUCGGCUCUCGCCUUUAGAUUGGCCCAAGUGGGAUUAGCUAGUUGGUGAGGUAAUGGCUCACCAAGGCGACNAUCCCUAGCUGGUUUGAGAGGAUGAUCAGCCACACUGGGACUGANACACGGCCCANACUCCUACGGGAGGCAGCAGUGGGGAAUAUUGCACAAUGGGCGCAAGCCUGAUGCANCCAUGCCGCGUGUGUGAANAAGGCCUUCGGGUUGUAAAGCACUUUCAGUCAGGAGGAAAGGUUAUUCGUUAAUACCGGCUAGCUGUGACGUUACUGACANAANAAGCACCGGCUAACUCCGUGCCAGCAGCCGCGGUAACACGGAGGGUGCGAGCGUUAAUCGGAAUUACUGGGCGUAAAGCGUACGCAGGCGGUUUGUUAAGCGAGAUGUGAAAGCCCCGGGCUCAACCUGGGAACUGCAUUUCGAACUGGCAAACUAGAGUGUGAUAGAGGGUGGUAGAAUUUCAGGUGUAGCGGUGAAAUGCGUAAAGAUCUGAAGGAAUACCGAUGGCGAAGGCAGCCACCUGGGUCAACACUGACGCUCAUGUACGAAAGCGUGGGGAGCAAACAGGAUUAGAUACCCUGGUAGUCCACNCCGUAAACGAUGUCUACUAAAAGCUCGNAACCUC
rnacentral:rRNA from 1 species